GUUUGGAAUCCAUUUUCUAUGUUUCAUGUAUGAAGAAAAGAAAAGCUGAUAUUUUAUGUGUGUUAAUUUUUUUCUAUCAUGUUAAUUUUUAACACUCUGUCUUUGAUAAGGGACUUGCAACAAAGCAUUGCCAGAGAACCUAGUGCUCCUUCAAUUCCUACACCUGCAUAUCAGUCCUCACCAGCAGGAGGACAUGCACCAACUCCUCCAACUCCAGCGCCAAGAACCAUGCCGCCUACUAAGCCCCAGCCCCCAGCCAGGCCUCCACCACCUGUGCUUCCAGCAAAUCGAGCUCCUUCUGCUACUGCUCCAUCUCCAGUGGGGGCUGGGACUGCUGCACCAGCUCCAUCACAAACGCCUGGCUCAGCUCCUCCUCCACAGGCCCAGGGACCACCCUAUCCCACCUAUCCAGGAUAUCCUGGGUAUUGCCAAAUGCCCAUGCCCAUGGGCUAUAAUCCUUAUGCGUAUGGCCAGUAUAAUAUGCCAUAUCCACCAGUGUAUCACCAGAGUCCUGGACAGGCUCCAUACCCGGGACCCCAG
rnacentral:sRNA from 1 species